rnacentral:tRNA from 1 species
UUCUAUAUAAUUAAAUAGUAUAAUACCUUACUUAUAGCUAUAAAUAAAGAGUCGUAAGUUCGAAUCUUAUUAUAAAAG